AGAACGACGUCCCGAAAAUUACGUCAUCAUCGUGUCAUCGUGUUUCCGACGAAGAUCAAUACCGACGUUUCCCGAAGUUGAAAGGAAAACAAUGAUGGCGUCUACAGACCAGUACGGGGAGGACAGGAAACUUAUCGAAACUAAAAGAAUAUCGUUUGUAUGCAUCAGUUUUAAAUACAUGUGCCCUCUAUAGUGGAAGUAUACUACACAGAUAGUUUUGGUACAUCUUUGAAUCGAUGGAAAUGGAACUUUGCCGUCGUUGUUCGUCAUUUUAUUCGCAAGAGGACAUCUUCAGAAGAACYAGCCAAGAAGUGACAUCUGCGGAACCACCUUUUUGAAUGGAUGCUGUUUAAAGAAUAUAAAAGKGUUAUUAGAGCACCCAUGUUCCAAAGAAUAACAAGUAUCCAAUGGUCUCUAUGACGAAAGAAUAACAUCACAACCAAGCAUAACAUAGUUAUAUCAAAACAUAACAUAAGGUACAUAACUUUAUAUAU